CGCCUCACCGCCGCCCGGUACGUUUAUUGGUCGGCCGCCGCAGUGACGUAGACUGGCCGGUGCCUUUUCCCGCAGCCUUAUGGGAAAUGUAGUUUAGUUCUUGCAGAAGUUGAGAAAGAACCGGCCAUAAUGACUUCACAGCGAAACUGCAUCUCCCAGGAGCAACUGCAAACGGUCUUGCACAAAAUCUGAAAUGAGGAACCGCGGUCUAUUUGUUGACUUUAUGCAGGGGGUGCUGGGAGUUGUAGGCAAGUGCCUGACAUAACUCGAAAUUGCAACUUUUCUCCGGCUCGGCACUAUGAGUCGGGAUGGCUUUCUCCAAGGUAUCCCGGCUGGGCUAGUGAGAGAUGAAUAAUGGAAGGGAUGUAACGCAGGUCACCUGGAACCGAGACGACCGAGAGGCAGCAAACAAUUUGGACUGUUUUGAAACCUUAACUCUUUGCCAGUAUCUUCCUUCCAGAAAUAGGACCCAUUGGUAGGUUUAGCAAAGGCUUGCAUGUGACUGAACGUACUAAGUAGCUGGAAUCUACGUUUUUGUCUAGAUUUCUAGAGGCAUUAGCACCUUCUUUACGAGGCUGAAUUGAAAAGAGAAGCAAGACCUUCUUCAGAUCCUGUACCUUUCAGUAGAUCCCCUGAGGGAAGAUGGCAAGGAGCUCAGCUGACUUCCAUCUGCUUCAAAGCAACUUCCCUCUGCUCAUGACUUUCCCCUGCUUGCUACUUCCUCUUGUAACUCAAGAUUUCCACCUCUUACUGGGAUAGAUCUCCAGCCCCAGGGGAAGAACUUCUUUAUUCCUUCUUGGAAUUGUCCAAUAUGUGUGCUGCAAAUUCUCUAUAAAACCUCUGAAACUGAUCGAAGUUCUUCAGUAAUUAUUUGCAAGACAAAUCAUCGGAUACUACAGAAACUUAUCAUAGUUGGUUAAGGGAUUUAUAAACAAAACAAAAUCUUUGAGUUACCAUACUAUUCAUCAUGUUCAAGAAAAUGGGACUGGAUGGUGAUAACUGCUAGCAGGAAAUACUGACAUACUUCUAUACAGAGUUAUUUGAGCAGAUAACACAGGAUGUGCAUUUAAUGGAAACUAUUAGGUGUCAGUAAUUGGAUUCGGAAGGUUGGAGGGCCUUCCCUCUAUAUGUCCAAUAUAGAAUCAUGGAGUAAUUCAUUAACUACUAUUAUAUCAGAGCAGCAGAUUUUGAACAGGGAUAAGAAGAGCUGUCAUACUCCACUGUUUUUUGUUUUUUAUUUUUGUUAGGAUUAAAUGGGAUAGUACAUGUAAAAUAAUUUACAAACUUGAAAGAGUUGCACAAAUGUUAGGUAUCAAAGAUUUAUUUGUAGAAGACACAUGACAUAUUAGACAGCUGACCUUCAAAAAGACUUGAGUUCAAGUUCUGUCCCUUAUACCUACUACUGUCUCUGUGACCCUGAACAGAUCACUUAACCUCCUAAUACUUUAGGCAACUCUUUAAGUUGCAGAGAAUGUGCCUGCCUAAAUUAGUAGAGAACUUCUUCAUCUGAAAUUCUCCAUAGCAGUGAAAUUUCAAAUUCAGUCCUUAUCUCCAAAUAAAAUUAAGAGUGUAGGUCUGAGGGACUCAUAUUGCCUGUCCCCAUUUCUCCUUUAAUAGUAUGUAUAGCAUUUGGGCAAGAAGUCAGUAUCUUCAUAUAUUGCUAAGAAUGCAUUUUCCUAGAUUUCUGGAGGGAAAUAAGACUAAAUGUGUUCCUUUUUGUAUUUAGUUAUAAAAUUUAAAGAAAAUUGGUCAACAAAUUUUAUACUUCCAAAGAGAAGUAUUUCAUCUGGUAUAAUCUUUCUACUAAGAUAUAAAAUGUGAAAUUCAAUCUUGCAGGUGCCAACAGACAUCAUAGCUUAGGGUAUAGGAAUAGAACUAACAUUUUAAUAAAUUUAAAUAACAAUUCAAUAAAUAUUUUCUCUGUUCAACAAGUACCUAUUAUGUGAAUAGUGACUUGCAUGCAAGUAAAGAUAUUGUUCAUGAAAUCUUUUACCAGAUAAGGAGGUAGUUCAGUUGUAUGGCAAAAGCAAAAAAUUACAGGUAGAUAAUACAAGUACUAAAUUUGUAACCUUAUAAUUUACUAGACAUUAGUAAAGGAACUAGAGAAAAGAUCACAGUAUGUUGGAUGGAUCCCUUAUAUGGAAGAAAAUAAACAUGUGUCUCACGGGAUAUGAAGAUGAGGAUGAUUGCAAUGUGUAGCACUGAAGGAAGUACCUACAUCUGUAGAGUCACAAAUCCAUUGUAAUAUUGAAUUAUAAGGUAGUCCUUAAAAAUUAGUAAUGGAAUAACAUUUUGAGAAGGACCUUCACUCAGUUCAGAUUUAUCUAAAGAUUUAACAAGAAAAACAAAAAAAUCCUCAUUGUUCACACUUAUUCUUGGCUUCUUGUUUUUACCAAAAAAUCAGCUAUUCCUGUGAAUUGUAGGUCCAUGAUAGAGCAGUUAGUGUGGCAGUUCUAUGUUGAACAACUUCAAAAGCAUUUUGAGUAGGUAAUAGCAUAAACAGUAAAAGCUAAAAGUCCAGGAGUGGAAUGAUGAAGGCCAUGAACCAGGUUUACAGAGGAGAAGGAGAAAUAACCUAGUGAUUCACAGAUAAGAUUAACAGGAUGUGGUAGGUAUUUAAAGAGAAUGGACUGCUGAAUGGUAGCCCAGGGAGGCUGUGACAGUGUCAUUGUAGAUCAGGAAGUAUGUCAAUUCCUCUCCCUGGCCUUAUGUUUUAGGAGGUGUUAGAGAAAUAACAGGAAGCUCAGAGGCUUGCAUACACCAAUGGAUAAAGGGUAUUCCAGAGGAAGCUGGUGAGUUCUAGAAGAUGGAAGAGAACUAGUGUUAAUAAAACAAUAAAUAAAUACACAGUAGAGAGGAAAGAAGUUCAGAGGAUCUAGAAAGGCAGGGUAAAUUGUUACUGAAAAUUUUUUUUUAUAAGUUUGAAAAUAAAAACCCAAACCCUAUGCAUAAUAGAAAAUUACAGGGCUUUUUUUGUUUGUUGGUUUGGUUUGGUUUGGUUUAGUUUGUUUUUUUAAUACAAUCAAUCCUCUUUUAUUGCAUAUUGGAUUUUCAUUUUUUUGAUUGAUGUUUAAAUUCAUGAUAAAUAGAAAAUUGCUAUUUUAAAAUGUUAUGAUACUUUGUUUCAGUGUUACUUCCCUUAUUUUCAUAGAGACAAUUGACACUGAACCAAGGGAGUUUAAUUAGCUCAGUAAAAUGACUGAGGGCAUCCACUAGAUAGUGCUGAAGGUUUGUAAACAUCUGAGCUUUUAAGAUAAUCAUUUUUAAUCUUUUUUAAGUCACACUCCAUUUGAAAGUCUAUUGAUACCUUCUUAGAACAAUGCUUUAAAGUAAUAAAACAAUGGCAUUAUAAAGGAAACCAUUAUUUUGAAAUAAUAUCAAAUAUUUAAAAAUUCAUGAAACUCAGGUUAAAUAUAUUUGCUUUAGGGUUUAUCAUGAUUGAAAUUUUCUAGCAGUACAUAAGAAUGACAUGUUUAAAGCUAGAAGUGACUCUUGGGGCCAUUUCAUGCAAUUCUUUAUUUUUAGAAAUGAGGAUGCUAAGAUCCAGAGGUUAUAACUAACCUGUUACAUAGUGUGGCAGAGCUGGGAUAUAAAUUGGAGAUUUAUACUCCCAGUCCAAAUCCAGUACACUUUCUCCUCCACUAUGUAAUGUCUCAAUGUCAAACAUGCUUCCAGCUUGACUUGGUUGAAAUCCACCAAUUAUACAUCCAGUAAGGGCCUUUUAUUCUCUCAGGUUACUUUUUACUGCCAGCACUUAAUAAGUAAUGAUCACAUAGUUUUUUUUUUGUUUAAUAAUAUAAAUAAAACACUAAAGAAAAAGAAAAAUUUUCCUUGCCAGACCCCCAACCUCCUAGAUUCUUUAUACUCCCCCAGAUCUUUAAUCCAUAUGAGAAAUUCCCAAGAGCUUGUAGAAAAGGAAUGGGGAAAGGGCAUUCACUCCCUGCAUCUCAGGCUCAUUGAUUAAAUGGGAAAGCAAGGAACAUGAUAUCUGCUUAGCUCACUGUUCAACAGACAAAUAUAACAAUAGUUGCUUGUGGAGUUUGGAUUAUAUACUAGGAUAUGUCAAUCAUGGUUCAGUUCCAUAGUAACCAGGUUAAUCUGACUGCUCCAGAUUCCUUUUGUACUACUAAUGGGUACUCUUCUAUUUUAGCCUCUAAGGCUUCAAUAUUAUCAGAAAGUAAAAAAAGAAAGACACAAAAUACAACUGGCCUUUUAUCCUUUUGCAUUUUUCUUAAAAAAUGAUGAUUGAUAAUCAAGAUCCAGUGGGUUAGGGAGAGGCAGAUCAUUCCUCUGUGCCUCGAUCAUCCAGGAUUCAAGGCUUGCUUAGGAGGUGUGUGUGUGUGUGUGUGUGUGUGUGUGUGUGUGUGUGUGUGAGAGAGAGAGAGAGAGAGAGAGAGAGAGAGAGACUUCCUUGGACCCAGAAGGAAACAAAUGAAAGAGAUGAAAAGUCAGGGCAAAUUAUAUUGGGUUAUAUUUUAAAGUGCUAUAUGCCUCUGUUACUAUUAUUAAUAUCUGUCCAUUAUCAUCCAUUUGGAAUGCAUAUGCUUACUUGUAGUGUUGUCCCUAUCAUUAUAAUCUGUUAGCCUUUGUCAAUUUCAGUUGUGAAUAAUUCCUUUUCUUUGACCUUUGGGAUAUUUUCUCCUUUACCCAAAGUUUCUAAUAUGUGAACUAUUAUGUCCCAGAAGGUCUUUAUAUCUAUUAAUGUUAAAAACUGAUCCUUGUAUAUUGGACAAAAAACAAAAAUAAAAACAUUAACAUUUAUAAACAAAUAAUUAAAAAUAAACAUAUUAUAUAGAAAUAAAUUUAUUAGACAGAAAAACAAAGUUAAUUUCAUCUUUAGCCUUGAGAUCAAAGAGAUUUACCAUAGGAAUUAUAGCCCAGAUUGGUCAAAAGGAAAUAAUCAUUUUGUGAUCAUGAUGGGAAAGAAAAAGAGCUUUCAGGACACAUUGAAAUGAAAACAAAAAAGCUUUGCAGACUUGUGUGAUGGUGAUGUGUAGAGAUUUCAAUGAUAAGGUUAUUUUAUUGGAGAAGGAUUAAAGUCAGGAAUAGAUUAUCUAACCUUAGAUUAGAUAUAUCUGAGUAAAUGGAAGAAAAGAUGAAAGUAAGGUCAUUCAUGACAUUCUUAUAAAGAACUUGAAGUAUUAUAGGAACACAAUAUUGAAAUAAAUUAAUUUUUAUAAGUUCCUUUACACAUAUCCCAUUUGAACCUUAAUAUAUGGUCUUGGAAUUUUAAAGCAAUAAGAUGAUUUCCAAUAGUUCUGAUAAAGGCUUCACUUCUAAAAUAAAUAGAAAGUUGACUCA